CCUUGUCCAAAAGUAGCGAGCAAGUGGGAAAACCAAGUCUCACAAAACGCCCCCGCGAGACGACAAGUGUGUGCCUGGGCUCCCGAGACCUAUUCUGUGAAGAGUUGCCCAGUGGUCGGAUAUUGAAUGUACUGGGAACUGGAGUAAGGGCGAAAGAGGAGCGCAGGUUUGGUAUUUGUCAGAUGUCAAAACUGGGAAAGACCAAGCCUCCUGGAGCGCUAGCUUUCAUACUUAAGGAAAGUCACUUAUAGUGGUUAGGUGAGGUAUGAAAAACGAUUUGAGGAAGCAUAUUUAACCUGGCAAUGUCACAUUGAGGUUGCACAUGGAGAGGUGCAAGAACAGAGCGAGAAAUGUUUGGAGAAAUGUAAAGUGAUUGCUUAGAUUUUAGUACUACAAGAUACUGCGGGAAACAAAUGAUGUGGAAGUGACAAACUAUUUUUAAAAUGAGUUUCUGCACUCCCCUUUGUAGUUUUUUAAAUGUCGUGAGCAUGAAGACUCAAAUUCUAUCCAAAAUCAGACACAGUAUGACAAACCAAGCAGCAGUGUUCCCCUAAACAUUACGUGUAAAUAACCUAGGCAGACUGUGUAAGCCUUCGAGUAUCUUAUGUACUUGACUAUGUUCUAAAGAACAAGUUAGAACACAUUUUCACUUUAACUUGAUUGAAAAGAGACCUACCCUUUUAAGGAACAUUUUUUUUUUCAUUUAAAAUUGAAGUCAAGUGCAUUGUAAAAUACUACUGGAAACAUUGAUUACAAUGUAAUUGAACGUAGUGUCACUGGUAGCUAAAGCAAACCAUUUUGGGAGAAUUAUAAUGUAGAGUCCUUUUGAGGUGAAAUAGUGCUAAGUUUUUGUCCAUCCACUUACAGAUGAGGCGUAGACUACUAAGAUAGCACAUUGGUUUGCUUGCCUUCUUUGUUUCUUAUCUUCUUUCUAGCACAUUGCUCCCAAUUUAUUAUUCCUAGAACAUCCUUACUAUACCCAGAACACUCUUACUAAAAUCAGCAACUUCUACUGGUCUCCUAAAACCCCAAAGAUAAAAUCCAGGCUAGCCUUCCAGAACCAUCAUAGCAUUAUCCUGGGCCUCAUAUAUUUACUACAAAAUGUAAAGGGUGCUUGCAAAGUGAUACUCGCAUCUCAGCGGUUUGAAAUGUCGCUACUGGAGUUUUAAAGUCUUCUCAGACUUCAAGAGUCUACAUGCCAUGAACCAUUUAAUGGCUACCUGGGGGGAAAGUGAGAAAGAAGGGAGAUGCAUUGGCAGGAGGAAUGAUACAGGGCUGGUCAAAAGCUACAAAAUCUGUUGCCUUCAUAAUUUUAUGCAGGGCCUUUCCUACCCUGUCCAGCGGCUACUUCUGGUUUAACUUCUGACUUCCAAGUGCUAUUGUUGGUUGCUGAUUCUUUGUCCUUGACUCUUUAUUCUUGUUCUUUCUGCCCAGUAUCUUCAUGAUUUUCAAAACUCAUCUGAUCCAAAACUUCCUGACUCCAUGGUUCCUGAUAAUGCCCCUCCCACAGUUCCCUGAUACCCAACAGAAUGUCCAUAUCAUUUAUUUUAGGGUUGAAUUAUACCAUAAAUAAUACAACUAGCACUGAACAAGAUGUUUGACUUAUCAGUACAAUUGUAAAUGAAUUUAAAGAAGAUUUGUUAAUCUACUUGUACCCCUUAUAUUUUUCAUUACAGUAGUGAUUUCAAAAGGAAUACUGAGUCCUUUGAACUUAGUUUUCUAGUUUUUAUGUUCUUCAGAAUGGACAUUUAAAUUGAUAAAAUGUUUGCUUAAGUUAUUUCUCCAGGGCUUGUUAUUUUUUAAUUAGUUUUUUUGUUAUGUAAAUAUAUUUUUAGAUAACAAAAGAGAAUUCUUAAGAAAGACAACAAUGAAUGAUAGGCUACAUUUAAAAAAGCAGACACCAGAGUUAAAAAAAGAAAAAGAAACCAGUAGGUAACAUUAGAAUAGAACACAGCAAUCGCAUGAAUAUGCAGUAGCACCAAUGUAUGUUUCCUUCUACAGGGCAACAUUAAUGUAAAAUGCUGAGGGACAGAUCAAGAAGGAAAUCAUAAGACAGCAUGCUAUUUCCUCGAAAACUAUGGAGCAUAUUACUUACCCUGAAUUAUGCAGAAAACUUUUUAACAGAAGUGCAAGUAGUUACUUUUCUACAAGCUGCUGCAGAUGAGUUGAUGGUCACACCUCAUGAAGGAGAAGAAACCUGGAAUCAACAAGGAGACAUUCUUAAGCACAUCGUGCUGACUCAGAGCUCCUGCUAUAAAAUUUGAUACCCCUGAAAAUCAUCUUUAACACAGGUCUGCCCCAUAUAUUAUUGUACAUACACUAUGGGGGGGUCCUAAGGUUCAAAAUGUUGCCUAUUCACAGAAGAUCCACAGGCAAGAUGUGGGAACAAGCCAAGGAACACUGAUUUAAUUAAGCAAGUGUUCUCUAAACUCCUGCAAAUUAUCAGUUUCCACAAGGCAGAGGGACAAUUGUUGGUAAAGGGAAUGAAACUUCUAUGAAAUUUAAUCUGGCUAUGGAAGUACUGGGGUCAAAAUAAACAAACAGAUAUUUCCUGCUGUAGCUAAAACCAAGCAAAAUACUCUUUCCCACAUUUUGGGAUUUUUUUCCCCUUUACUUUUAUGGCUAAGUAAUAAUUUUUAAGUUACAAGAAUUUUUACAUCCUUCAAAACGUAUUUCUCCUACCUAGGAAUGAUUUUUGUUCAUUGAUUUGUAAUUUAAAUGCAAUUUACAUAUGAUAAUAAUUAAGAGACUUAGUAGCUUUAAUAUUAAGAACUAAGAACAAAAGCAAAACCUUCCCCGUAAUCUUGUGUCAAAUCAAACUGAAAUGUGAAGAAAAUUUCCAUUAAUAUCUUUGGGGCAGGAACAUUUAUUAUAGCUAUUAGGUAGCACAGUUAGCCUGUUAGAUUAGUUCUGAUCAAACAAUUUAAAGCUGUUUUUAUUAAUAGAUUGUUAUUUCUUUAAAAAAAAAAAAAA